rnacentral:rRNA from 1 species
GGGUUGUGAGGUUAAGCGAAUAAGCGUACACGGUGGAUGCCUAGGCAAUCAGAGGCGAUGAAGGACGUGCUAAUCUGCGAUAAGCGUCGGUAAGGUGAUAUGAACCGUUAUACCCGACGAUUUCCGAAUGGGGAAACCCAAUAUCCAAUGGAUAUUAUCAUGACGUGAAUACAUAGCGUCAUGAAGCGAACCGGGAGAACUGAAACAUCUCAGUACCCCGAGGAAAAGAAAUCAACCGAGAUUCCCCUAGUAGCGGCGAGCGAACGGGGAACAGCCCAGAGUCUUAAUCAAUAGCAGCGUCAGGAGAACGGUCUGGAAAGUCCGGCAGUAAAGGGUGAUAGCCCCGUAUCUGAAGAUGCUGUUAUUGUGAACUCGACGAGUAGGGCGGGACACGUGUUAUCCUGUCUGAAUAUGGGGGGACCAUCCUCCAAGGCUAAAUACUCCUGAUUGACCGAUAGUGAACCAGUACCGUGAGGGAAAGGCGAAAAGAACCCCGGCGAGGGGAGUGAAAAAGAACCUGAAACCGUGUACGUACAAGCAGUAGGAGCCCCAUCACUCAAGUGCCUCGCACUGAGUGAUUGGACAAACCACUCGAAAACAGCGCAGCGUUUACCUACAAAGUGGAUUGAUUUUUUCAAGCCGUCGCGCAGUGUACAUAGAAGUACACGAGCAACGGAAGUUAAAAAAUCGAGCCAGUUUGACAGUAAAAGCAAGCGGGACAUUUGAGGAUGGGGUGACUGCGUACCUUUUGUAUAAUGGGUCAGCGACUUAUAUUCUGUAGCAAGGUUAACCGUAUAGGGGAGCCGUAGGGAAACCGAGUCUUAACUGGGCGAAUAAGUUGCAGGGUAUAGACCCGAAACCCGGUGAUCUAUCCAUGGGCAGGUUGAAGGUUGGGUAACACUAACUGGAGGACCGAACCGACUAAUGUUGAAAAAUUAGCGGAUGACUUGUGGAUGGGGGUGAAAGGCCAAUCAAACCGGGAGAUAGCUGGUUCUCCCCGAAAGCUAUUUAGGUAGCGCCUCGUGAACUCAUCUUCGGGGGUAGAGCACUGUUUCGACUAGGGGGUCAUCCCGACUUACCAACUCGAUGCAAACUGCGAAUACCGAAGAAUGUUAUCACGGGAGACACACGGCGGGUGCUAACGUCCGUCGUGAAGAGGGAAACAACCCAGACCGCCAGCUAAGGUCCCAAAGUCAUGGUUAAGUGGGAAACGAAGUGGGAAGGCUCAGACAGCCAGGAUGUUGGCUUAGAAGCAGCCAUCAUUUAAAGAAAGCGUAAUAGCUCACUGGUCGAGUCGGCCCGCGCGGAAGAUGUAACGGGGCUAAACCAUGCACCGAAGCUGCGGCAGCGACACUUAUGUGUUGUUGGGUAGGGGAGCGUUCUGUAAGCCUGCGAAGGUGUGCUGUGAGGCAUGCUGGAGGUAUCAGAAGUGCGAAUGCUGACAUAAGUAACGAUAAUGCGGGUGAAAAACCCGCACGCCGGAAGACCAAGGGUUCCUGUCCAACGUUAAUCGGGGCAGGGUGAGUCGACCCCUAAGGCGAGGCUGAAAAGCGUAGUCGAUGGGAAACGGGUUAAUAUUCCCGUACUGGUGGUAACUGCGAUGGGGGAACGGAGAAGGCUAGGUUGUCCGGGCGACGGUCGUCCCGGUUCAAGCAUGUAGGCAGAGUGAUUAGGCAAAUCCGGUCACUUAAUGCUGAGGUGUGAUGACGAGCCACUAAGGUGGUGAAGCAAUUGAUGCCCUGCUUCCAGGAAAAGCCUCUAAGCUUCAGGUUACCAACAAUCGUACCCCCAAACCGACACAGGUGGUCAGGUAGAGAAUACUCAGGCGCUUGAGAGAACUCGGGUGAAGGAACUAGGCAAAAAUGGUGCCGUAACUUCGGGAGAAGGCACGCUGGCGGUAAGUGAAGUCCCUUGCGGACGGAGCCGAAGCCAGUCGAAGAUACCAGCUGGCUGCAACUGUUUAUUAAAAACACAGCACUGUGCAAACACGAAAGUGGACGUAUACGGUGUGACGCCUGCCCGGUGCUGGAAGGUUAAUUGAUGGGGUUAUCCUUAGGGAGAAGCUCUUGAUCGAAGCCCCAGUAAACGGCGGCCGUAACUAUAACGGUCCUAAGGUAGCGAAAUUCCUUGUCGGGUAAGUUCCGACCUGCACGAAUGGCGUAAUGAUGGCCAGGCUGUCUCCACCCGAGACUCAGUGAAAUUGAACUCGCUGUGAAGAUGCAGUGUACCCGCGGCAAGACGGAAAGACCCCGUGAACCUUUACUAUAGCUUGACACUGAACAUUGAGCCUUGAUGUGUAGGAUAGGUGGGAGACUAUGAAGUGUGGACGCCAGUCUGCAUGGAGUCAACCUUGAAAUACCACCCUUUAACGUUUGAUGUUCUAACCUAGGUCCAUAAUCUGGAUCGGGGACCGUGUCUGGUGGGUAGUUUGACUGGGGCGGUCUCCUCCUAAAGAGUAACGGAGGAGCACGAAGGUUGGCUAAGCAUGGUCGGACAUCAUGCGGUUAGUGCAAAGGCAUAAGCCAGCUUGACUGUGAGAGUGACGGCUCGAGCAGGUACGAAAGUAGGUCUUAGUGAUCCGGUGGUUCUGAAUGGAAGGGCCAUCGCUCAACGGAUAAAAGGUACUCCGGGGAUAACAGGCUGAUACCGCCCAAGAGUUCAUAUCGACGGCGGUGUUUGGCACCUCGAUGUCGGCUCAUCACAUCCUGGGGCUGAAGUAGGUCCCAAGGGUAUGGCUGUUCGCCAUUUAAAGUGGUACGCGAGCUGGGUUUAGAACGUCGUGAGACAGUUCGGUCCCCUAUCUCGCCGUGGGCGUUGGAAGAUUGAGAGGGGUUGCUCCUAGUACGAGAGGACCGGAGUGAACGCACCACUGGUGUUCGGGUUGUCAUGCCAAUGGCAUUGCCCGGUAGCUAAGUGCGGAAGAGAUAACCGCUGAAAGCAUCUAAGCGGGAAACUUGCCUCGAGAUGAGUCUUCCCUGUCACCUUGAGUGACCUAAAGGAACGUUUAAGACUAAGACGUUGAUAGGCUGGGUGUGUAAGCGUAGCGAUACGUUGAGCUAACCAGUACUAAUGAACCGUGAGGCUUAACCUGACAACACCGAAGGUGUUU